GACGAACGCUGGCGGCGCGCCUAACACAUGCAAGUCGAACGAGCGAGAGAGAGCUUGCUUUCUCGAGCGAGUGGCGAACGGGUGAGUAACGCGUGAGGAACCUGCCUCAAAGAGGGGGACAACAGUUGGAAACGACUGCUAAUACCGCAUAAGCCCACGGCUCGGCAUCGAGCAGAGGGAAAAGGAGCAAUCCGCUUUGAGAUGGCCUCGCGUCCGAUUAGCUAGUUGGUGAGGUAACGGCCCACCAAGGCAACGAUCGGUAGCCGGACUGAGAGGUUGAACGGCCACAUUGGGACUGAGACACGGCCCAGACUCCUACGGGAGGCAGCAGUGGGGAAUAUUGCACAAUGGGGGAAACCCUGAUGCAGCGACGCCGCGUGGAGGAAGAAGGUCUUCGGAUUGUAAACUCCUGUUGUUGAGGAAGAUAAUGACGGUACUCAACAAGGAAGUGACGGCUAACUACGUGCCAGCAGCCGCGGUAAAACGUAGGUCACAAGCGUUGUCCGGAAUUACUGGGUGUAAAGGGAGCGCAGGCGGGAGAACAAGUUGGAAGUGAAAUCCAUGGGCUCAACCCAUGAACUGCUUUCAAAACUGUUUUUCUUGAGUAGUGCAGAGGUAGGCGGAAUUCCCGGUGUAGCGGUGGAAUGCGUAGAUAUCGGGAGGAACACCAGUGGCGAAGGCGGCCUACUGGGCACCAACUGACGCUGAGGCUCGAAAGUGUGGGUAGCAAACAGGAUUAGAUACCCUGGUAGUCCACACCGUAAACGAUGGUUACUAGGUGUUGGAGGAUUGACCCCUUCAGUGCCGCAGUUAACACAAUAAGUAAUCCACCUGGGGAGUACGACCGCAAGGUUGAAACUCAAAGGAAUUGACGGGGGCCCGCACAAGCAGUGGAGUAUGUGGUUUAAUUCGACGCAACGCGAAGAACCUUACCAAGUCUUGACAUCCCUUGACGAUGCUGGAAACAGUAUUUCUCUUCGGAGCAAGGAGACAGGUGGUGCAUGGUUGUCGUCAGCUCGUGUCGUGAGAUGUUGGGUUAAGUCCCGCAACGAGCGCAACCCUUAUGGUCAGUUACUACGCAAGAGGACUCUGGCCAGACUGCCGUUGACAAAACGGAGGAAGGUGGGGAUGACGUCAAAUCAUCAUGCCCUUUAUGACUUGGGCUACACACGUACUACAAUGGCGUUAAACAAAGAGAAGCAAGACCGCGAGGUGGAGCAAAACUCAGAAACAACGUCCCAGUUCGGACUGCAGGCUGCAACUCGCCUGCACGAAGUCGGAAUUGCUAGUAAUCGUGGAUCAGCAUGCCACGGUGAAUACGUUCCCGGGCCUU
rnacentral:rRNA from 1 species